AAUAAAACGUUGAAGAGGACAGUAGGUUAUCUAGAGGGUUACAGAGAGAGAUGUCUAGGCUGGAAACAUCUUACAGAAAGAUAAUUGAAGACUACCUUGGAGUGGCUCUAAUCAAGCCCGGUGACUCCGUUAUAGUCCAAAUGAGAGGCUUUUGUUUUGAAAGCAAUCAGGGUGGAACCGCGUAUAAUACGUCCCUGUU
rnacentral:ncRNA from 1 species